GAACGCUGGCGGCGGGCCUAAUACAUGCAAGUCGAGCGAACAGACGAGGAGCUUGCUCCUCUGACGUUAGCGGCGGACGGGGGAGUAACACGUGGAUAACCUACCUAUAAGACUGGGAUAACUUCGGGAAACCGGAGCUAAUAACGGAUAAUAUAUUGAACCGCAUGGUUCAAUAGUGAAAGAAGGGUUUGCUGUCACUUAUAGAUGGGUCCGCGCCGCAUUAGCUAGUUGGUAAGGUAACGGCUUACCAAGGCAACGAUGCGUAGCCGACCUGAGAGGGUGAUCGGCCACACUGGAACUGAGACACGGUCCAGACUCCUACGGGAGGCAGCAGUAGGGAAUCUUCCGCAAUGGGCGAAAGCCUGACGGAGCAACGCCGCGUGAGUGAUGAAGGUCUUCGGAUCGUAAAACUCUGUUAUUAGGGAAGAACAAAUGUGUAAGUAACUAUGCACGUCUUGACGGUACCUAAUCAGAAAGCCACGGCUAACUACGUG
rnacentral:rRNA from 1 species